rnacentral:misc_RNA from 1 species
GCCACCUGAAGAAGCAUUCGAGCGGGAUCUGGGAUUGAGAUUGGGUGAGAAUGAGAAUGAGAACGAUACAUAUGCAAUACUAACUCGAGUACUCGGGUUUUCAGCUGUACCAAGAAGGAUUUACGCGGAUGAUGUACAAGUUGGGAAGGAGAUUGAUUAUGAUUCAAUAUCGGGAUACACUGUUUAUAUAUCGAAAGAGUCAGAUGGGUUGUUGAUAGUUAAUAGAAUUGCUUCGGAAAUGGUGGAUUUGAGAAGAGGGAAGAUUGUUGUACAUGUUAUGGA